UUUAUGGAGAGUUUGAUCCUGGCUCAGGAUGAACGCUGGCGGCAUGCCUAAUACAUGCAAGUCGAGCGAACGGACAAGGAGCUUGCUCCUUUGAAGUUAGCGGCGGACGGGUGAGUAACACGUGGGUAACCUACCUAUAAGACUGGAAUAACUCCGGGAAACCGGGGCUAA
rnacentral:rRNA from 1 species